rnacentral:rRNA from 1 species
UACGAAGGGGGCUAGCGUUGUUCGGAAUUACUGGGCGUAAAGCGUAUGCAGGCGGAUCUUUAAGUCAGGGGUGAAAUCCCGAGGCUCAACCUCGGAACUGCCUUUGAUACUGGAGAUCUUGAGUCCGGGAGAGGUUAGUGGAACUGCGAGUGUAGAGGUGAAAUUCGUAGAUAUUCGCAAGAACACCAGUGGCGAAGGCGGCUUACUGGUCCGGUUCUGACGCUGAGGCGCGAAAGCGUGGGGAGCAAACAGG